UACGUAGGGUGCGAGCGUUGUCCGGAAUUAUUGGGCGUAAAGGGUGCGUAGGCGGCGGGGCAAGUCAGGUGUGAAAUCCCGGGGCUUAACCCCGGAACUGCACUUGAUACUGCCUCGCUAGAGUACUGGAGAGGAGACUGGAAUUUACGGUGUAGCAGUGAAAUGCGUAGAGAUCGUAAGGAAGACCAGUGGCGAAGGCGAGUCUCUGGACAGUUACUGACGCUGAGGCACGAAGGCCAGGGGAGCAAACGGG
rnacentral:rRNA from 1 species